AGUAAGAUCAGCUAAUUAAGCUAUCGGGCCCAUACCCCGGAAAUGACGGUUGAACCCCUUCCCUUACUA
rnacentral:tRNA from 1 species